AUAACUAUUUGAUGUUGGCUUGGCUCAAUCAAAUUAAAGUUCUUUAAGAGAUAUGUUGAGUUCUUUAAUAUGAUUGAGCCGUGCCAAUAUCAAAAUAUUCAUC
rfam:Cajanus cajan CcLG11_2172, whole genome shotgun sequence.